UAUGUUUUAGUGUAUGACGCACAAAAGUUUUUGAUACUUUUAGAAAUAGUUUAAUUCUAUUAAAUAUAA
rnacentral:tRNA from 1 species